rnacentral:rRNA from 1 species
CCUACGGGAGGCAGCAGUGGGGAAUUUUGGACAAUGGGCGCAAGCCUGAUCCAGCAAUGCCGCGUGCAGGAUGAAGGCCUUCGGGUUGUAAACUGCUUUUGUACGGAACGAAAAAGUCUGCCCUAAUACGGUGGGCCCAUGACGGUACCGUAAGAAUAAGCACCGGCUAACUACGUGCCAGCAGCCGCGGUAAUACGUAGGGUGCGAGCGUUAAUCGGAAUUACUGGGCGUAAAGCGUGCGCAGGCGGUUAUAUAAGACAGAUGUGAAAUCCCCGGGCUCAACCUGGGACCUGCAUUUGUGACUGUAUAGCUAGAGUACGGUAGAGGGGGAUGGAAUUCCGCGUGUAGCAGUGAAAUGCGUAGAUAUGCGGAGGAACACCGAUGGCGAAGGCAAUCCCCUGGACCUGUACUGACGCUCAUGCACGAAAGCGUGGGGAGCAAACAGGAUUAGAUACCCUGGUAGUCCACGCCCUAAACGAUGUCAACUGGUUGUUGGGUCUUCACUGACUCAGUAACGAAGCUAACGCGUGAAGUUGACCGCCUGGGGAGUAACGGCCGCAAGGUUGAAACUUAAAGGAAUUGACGG